GCCUUAUGCAUGCAAGUCGAGCGAAGCUUUUCAGUAGUUUACUACAGAAAAUGACUGAGCGGCGAACGGGUGAGUAACGCGUGAGCAAUCUACCUUAGUUACAGGGAUAGCCCGAGGAAACUCGGAUUAAUACCUGAUAUUCUUUGUUUCUCGCAUGAGAAUAAAAGGAAAGGUCAGCCGAACUAAGAUGAGCUCGCGUUCUAUCAGCUAGUUGGUGAGGUAAAAGCUCACCAAGGCUACGACGGAUAGCUGGUCUGAGAGGACGAUCAGCCACACUGGGACUGAGACACGGCCCAGACUCCUACGGGAGGCUGCAGCAGGGAAUAUUGCGCAAUGAGCGAAAGCUUGACGCAGCGACACCGCGUGUGGGAUGACGGAUCUAGGUUUGUAAACCACUUUCAGGAGGGAAGAAAAUGACGGUACCUCCACAAGAAGCCCCGGCCAACUACGUGCCAGCAGCCGCGGUAAUACGUANGGGGCGAGCGUUGUCCGGAUUUAUUGGGCGUAAAGAGCUC
rnacentral:rRNA from 1 species